ensembl:lncRNA
GCUCAGAGCUAAGCCCCACGUGCUGCUCUCCCCCCGGGCUGCCCGGUGCCCUCUGCCCGGUGCCCCACAGCAAACGCCCAGCUGAAAGCACAGCUGGAUUUCUGCAGCACUUUCUCAGCAGCAGCUCCUACAGCGUGAGCUCCUCUUCUUUUUGCUGCUCGUGGCAACUGCUCUGUGAUAGACCUGCGUGGAGGCUGGGCUUGCUUGCUGCCAUGCUCUCACAUUUCGGUGCUGGGACGAAAGCAGGCGGUGAUGCGAUGGCAGCAACCUGAGGCUUCUGCAGCGCUGCUGUGACCAGAUAGUGAGCAGAAGGAGAGGCCUGAGCUUUGGAAGCCACUUUCACCAACUGGUAACCCAGAGGAUCCCUGCUUCUCAGCUGAAAGCUACCCCUCCGACAGGGCAAAUUAAUCACAUCCCUGAGCAGCGAGGGAAGCAGCAAGGAGGCCAGCUGGAAGCCACGCCGGGCCCUUCACACCCAAGGCCAAGCUGCUCUUCCCAUAACAUCAGUGGGCGCUUCGAGUGUGAUGUCAACAGCAUUGGGGUCUGUCCAUGGUGCAGACAGCAUCCAUCGUGGAGAGGACAAAAUGCAGGCAUCUGGUGGUGCUCCCAGCUCGGGCGGUCUCCUCUCUGCUUUGUGUUUUCAGCAGGAUUUGAAGUACAUCACCCUGGAGCUGUGUGAGAUCUUGGCUCUGCCUGCGGCGGCUCCGCGCAGACCCACUGAGGAAGGAGUGGCUCCUGGCAGCUCCAGCUCUUCAGGGACCGGUGAUUGCUGGGCUGUCACGCUGUGCCAAGGACCAAAUGACUGCGGCAGACACCCUCCCUGCCCGGGGGCUGCGAGGGCACGGCCACGCCAGGGUGUGGGACAGGGACCCGCGGGGACCCCAGGGCAAAUGGAUGCAGGCCAGCUCAGCUGAAGGAAACCAUAAGGGGAAAGAACGGCCGAGCCACGAAAGCAUGGAAGAUGGAUUUCGGGGUGCUUGCUUGCAGCCUGCCCACUGGAUGCAAGGCUACCUCCAGAGCUUGAAGGGCAGAUGUGAAGCACACGUGUGGCAUCUUAUGCCUACCCCGAGCCUCCCUGCUCCAGGGCUACACGGGGCAGCUGUCCUGGCCCUACUGCCACAGCAGAGUGCUGAGGUGUGCUCUGGGCUGUGGAUUUGUUUCCAAGAGUUCUGCAGCACCCAGCAGCUGGAGCCACCCAGGGAACAGCUGGAGAGGAUGAAGACGGAUGAGGACGUCUUCUUCAACACAUCCUUCAUCCCACACCCAGCCCCACCCCCCCAGCUGCUCCAGCCUGCUGAGGGACAGGUUCACCCCUAUUCUCUUUACCCCCCACUGCUGCAGUCAUGGACUUUGGGAUGAGGAAGAUGUUAAAACAGCUUCUAGUCCCUGGCAGCACUGGUGAGCCUGCCCUGUUCCUAGGCAGCCUGGCUGCCCAAUGAACCUGGCGAGCUUUUCUUUUAAGAGAUCUGGGACACCACUGCAAGUGGGUGGAAAUUGCCAUUGAUCUCUUGCCACCAGGGGAGCAGAGUUAACACAGCAAUGCUGAUUACAUCACCCAAGAAGCCGAUGGAAAAUGAAGAGUAGAAUAAACAUCCACCGUGCUUUUGCCUGGCUCUCUGC